rnacentral:rRNA from 1 species
GGCUACACAUGCAAGUCGAGCGGCAGCGGGAAAGUAGCUUGCUACUUUUGCCGGCGAGCGGCGGACGGGUGAGUAAUGCCUGGGAAUCUGCCCAGUCGAGGGGGAUAACUACUGGAAACGAUAGCUAAUACCGCAUACGCCCUACGGGGGAAAGCAGGGGACCUUCGGGCCUUGCGCGAUUGGAUGAACCCAGGUGGGAUUAGCUAGUUGGUGAGGUAAUGCCUCACCAAGGCGACGAUCCCUAGCUGGGCUGACAGGAUGAUCAGCCACACUGGAACUGAGCCACCUCCCAGACUCCUACGGGAGGCAGCAGUGGGGAAUAUUGCACAAUGGGGGAAACCCUGAUGCAGCCAUGCCGCGUGUGUGAAGAAGGCCUUCGGGUUGUAAAGCACUUUCAGCGAGGAGGAAAGGUUGAUGCCUAAUACGUAUCAACUGUGACGUUACUCGCAGAAGAAGCACCGGCUAACUCCGUGCCAGCAGCCGCGGUAAUACGGAGGGUGCAAGCGU